ACAAUGGAGAGUUUGAUCCUGGCUCAGGAUGAACGCUAGCUACAGGCUUAACACAUGCAAGUCGAGGGGAAACGAUAUUGGAAGCUUGCUUCCGAUAGGCGUCGACCGGCGCACGGGUGAGUAACGCGUAUCCAACCUGCCCACCACUUGGGGAUAACCUUGCGAAAGUAAGACUAAUACCCAAUGAUAUCUCUAGAAGACAUCUGAAAGAGAUUAAAGAUUUAUCGGUGAUGGAUGGGGAUGCGUCUGAUUAGCUUGUUGGCGGGGUAACGGCCCACCAAGGCAACGAUCAGUAGGGGUUCUGAGAGGAAGGUCCCCCACAUUGGAACUGAGACACGGUCCAAACUCCUACGGGAGGCAGCAGUGAGGAAUAUUGGUCAAUGGACGAGAGUCUGAACCAGCCAAGUAGCGUGCAGGAAGACGGCCCUAUGGGUUGUAAACUGCUUUUAUAAGGGAAUAAAGUGAGAGUCGUGACUCUUUUUGCAUGUACCUUAUGAAUAAGGACCGGCUAAUUCCGUGCCAGCAGCCGCGGUAAUACGGAAGGUCCGGGCGUUAUCCGGAUUUAUUGGGUUUAAAGGGAGCGUAGGCCGGAGAUUAAGCGUGUUGUGAAAUGUAGACGCUCAACGUCUGCACUGCAGCGCGAACUGGUUUCCUUGAGUACGCACAAAGUGGGCGGAAUUCGUGGUGUAGCGGUGAAAUGCUUAGAUAUCACGAAGAACUCCGAUUGCGAAGGCAGCUCACUGGAGCGCAACUGACGCUGAAGCUCGAAAGUGCGGGUAUCGAACAGGAUUAGAUACCCUGGUAGUCCGCACGGUAAACGAUGGAUGCCCGCUGUUGGUCUGAAUAGGUCAGCGGCCAAGCGAAAGCAUUAAGCAUCCCACCUGGGGAGUACGCCGGCAACGGUGAAACUCAAAGGAAUUGACGGGGGCCCGCACAAGCGGAGGAACAUGUGGUUUAAUUCGAUGAUACGCGAGGAACCUUACCCGGGCUUGAAUUGCAGAGGAAGGAUUUGGAGACAAUGACGCCCUUCGGGGCCUCUGUGAAGGUGCUGCAUGGUUGUCGUCAGCUCGUGCCGUGAGGUGUCGGCUUAAGUGCCAUAACGAGCGCAACCCCUCUCCUUAGUUGCCAUCA
rnacentral:rRNA from 1 species